rnacentral:misc_RNA from 1 species
ACACCCUCAAGCACAGCUUGGUGUUGGGCGUCUGUCCUCCGGGACUCGCCUCAAAAGGAUUGGCAGCCACUUCAGCGGCUUAGAGCGCAGCAGAAUUGCGACCUCUGGCAGUCGAAGGCGGCAUCCAUAAGUCUUUACUUUUUAGU